UUAAUCUUUAAUUUGUUUUACUAGAGUACUACGAAUAAGGUUUAAAACUCAAAGGGCUUGGCGGUGCUUUAGACUUUUCAGGGGAACCUGUCUCGUAAUCGACAUUCCGCGAAUUAACCUUACCUUUAUUCAGUAUGUAUACCGUCGUCGUCAGGUAACUUUUAAAAAUAAAGCAGUUAGCAGGCUCAGACGUCAGAUCAAGGUGCAGCUAAUAAAAAGGCGAGGAUGGGUUACAAUUAAGAUUUAUAAUACGAAAUUGAAUUUUAGAAGGCGGACUUGAAAGUAAAAAUUAGUAUAUAGAUUUCUUGAAUUAAGCUCUGAAGCG
rnacentral:rRNA from 1 species